ACAUUUUUGUAAAUUUUAAACGGAAUAAUUAUCUAUAUAUCUCUCAAAACUUCUUUUCUAUGCUCCAUAUAUUUCUCCGUUAUUUAAAAAUAAUUCCGCUGUUAGUACCCAUAAAAUCCAAAUUAAAUUUCUAUCAGAAUUAAAAAGAAAUCAAAAUAUCUCUUUUGUCCCUAACUUAAGGGAAGUAAGAAAUGUUGAUAACGAUAGAAGAGUAUAUUCAAAAGGACACAAAAUAGUAAUUUCACAUAGAUAACUGCUGUUCAUAAUAGUUCACUAACAUAAUUUAACUAUAUAUAGUGAUAAUAUUUGAAAGAACUUAAAC
rnacentral:lncRNA from 1 species